rnacentral:lncRNA from 1 species
CUAAAAAUGAAAAAUGAAGUAAUUUCAGCAUAUUAUUUAGAGGUCUUAUGGUAUUAUCAAAAUAAUUAGCUAAAUGAUUGGGACCCCAGAGAGACACUCACUCCACAUAAGAUGACGAGAAGGUGCCACCUAUGAGCCAGAAAGUGGACGCUUAUCAAACACCAAGUCUACCUUGAUCUUGGACUUCCCAGCCUCCAGGAAGGAGAUUCAGAACAUGGAGAUGAAUUAUUAAAACAAAAAACAAAACAAAAGUAGAAAAGACUGUGCUGUGGUUCGAAUGUGUCCCCUCCAAAAUUCAGGUGUUGCCAAUGUGACAGUAUUAAGAAGUGGGCCUUCAACAGGUGAUUAGGCAAUAACGGCUCCUCCC